rnacentral:rRNA from 1 species
GACGAAGGGGGCUAGCGUUGUUCGGAAUUACUGGGCGUAAAGCGUGCGCAGGCGGUUGUGUAAGACAGAUGUGAAAUCCCCGGGCUCAACCUGGGAACUGCAUUUGUGACUGCACGGCUGGAGUGCGGCAGAGGGGGAUGGAAUUCCGCGUGUAGCAGUGAAAUGCGUAGAUAUGCGGAGGAACACCGAUGGCGAAGGCAAUCCCCUGGGCCUGCACUGACGCUCAUGCACGAAAGCGUGGGGAGCAAACAGG